rnacentral:rRNA from 1 species
AUUGAACGCUGGCGGCAGGCUUAACACAUGCAAGUCGAGCGGGGGAAGGUAGCUUGCUACCGGACCUAGCGGCGGACGGGUGAGUAAUGCUUAGGAAUCUGCCUAUUAAUGGGGGACAACAUUCCGAAAGGAAUGCUAAUACCGCAUACGUCCUACGGGGGAAAGCAGGGGAUCUUCGGACCUUGCGCUAAUAGAUGAGCCUAAGUCGGAUUAGCUAGUUGGUGGGGUAAAGGCCUAACAAGGCGACGAUCUGUAGCGGGUCUGAGAGGAUGAUCCGCCACACUGGGACUGAGACACGGCCCAGACUCCUACGGGAGGCAGCAGUGGGGAAUAUUGGACAAUGGGGGGAACCCUGAUCCAGCCAUGCCGCGUGUGUGAAGAAGGCCUUUUGGUUGUGAAGCACUUUAAGCGAGGAGGAGGCUCCUUUAGUUAAUACCUAAAGAGAGUGGACGUUACUCGCAGAAUAAGCACCGGCUAACUCUGUGCCAGCCGCCGCCGUAA